rnacentral:rRNA from 1 species
AUUGAACGCUGGCGGCAGGCCUAACACAUGCAAGUCGAACGAGUGGCGGACGGGUGAGUAAUGUCUGGGAAACUGCCUGAUGGAGGGGGAUAACUACUGGAAACGGUAGCUAAUACCGCAUGCCAUCAGAUGUGCCCAGAUGGGAUUAGCUAGUUGGUGGGGUAACGGCUCACCAAGGCGACGAUCCCUAGCUGGUCUGAGAGGAUGACCCGGCAAAACGGAAAUGAGACACGGUCCAGACGCCUAAGGGAGGGAGGCGUGGGGAAAAUUUGAACAUGGGCGCAAGCCUGAUUGAGCCAUGCCGCGGUUAUUAAGAAGGCCUUUGGGUUGUAAAGUACUUUUAGCGGGGAGGCGUUACCCGCAGAAGAAGCACCGGCUAACUCCGUGCCAGCAGCCGCGGUAAUUC